AAGUCAUGCCAUACAGGAAGCUAUCAGAAGUUGCCUAGUAAGGAUUUAAGAAAAAAGGAAUUAAGUGAUUAUUUGGAUCAUAAAUUUUAGGGCAUCAGGAUAUGAGUAUCUGAUGUAUUUAUAUUAAUAAUUACAGCUUACCAUGGGCCAGUCACUCAUUUAAAUGCCACAGCAAAUUUAUGAAGUAGGAUAUAUUGUUAUCCUCAUUUGCACAUGAGGAAACUGUGCACAAAGACGUUAAAUGGACUGCCAAAAAUCCUAAAGCUAGUAAGUGCCAGUACCGGUAUUCAAACCUAGGCAGUCUAGCUCUUAACCGCUAUACUAUAUCUUUCAUUGAAAUGGACAGCUGGUUAUUUUGACUAAAUAUUCUAAGAUAUGUUUGGAAGGGAAUUACCAUCACUGACCUCUUGAAUCUCCUUCUUCUGUACUUCCAAGCUGAUCAACUCUUUUUUUUCUGAAAGACUCAAAUUGUUGUGUUGUAUUACAUAAAUUGAUAUAUGGGGUAAUUGCUAAACAUUAUAGACCUGAGAGUCAUUCUAUCUCUUUUAGAAAUCUUUUUCUUUAUUCCAUAAUGGAUAGUGACAAAUUCAAAAGCUUUAGGAACUAGGCAGAUAACAUAAGUGAGGGAGAUGGCUUGGUAUAAGACAAUUUGAAAUGGCGAGAACUGUGGCAAACCACUACUCACUCGUCACUUGGCUCCAGCUGCUCUGUGCAAAUGUGGAUCCAAUGUUAUCAGAUAUUUUAAGGCCAGGAAUGGUGGCUUAUGCCUAUAAUCCCAGCACUUUGGGAGGCCAAGGUGGGAAGAUUGCUUGAGCCUAGGAGUUUGAGACCAGCCUGGGCAACACAGUGAGACCCUGUCUCUACCAAAAAAAAAAAAAAAAUUAGCCAUGUGUGGUGGCAUGUGCCUGUAGUUCCAGCUACUUGGGAGGGUGAAGUGGGAAGAUUGCUUGAGUUCAGGAGGUCAAGGCUGCAGUGAGCUAUGGUUGUGCCACAGCACUCUAGCCUGGGUGACAAAGCAAGACUCUGUCUCAAAAAAAAAAAAAGAUAUUUGAAACUUUACCUUAAGGGUAAGUUAUUACCUCUGCAAAUAGCUCAUUUCUUCAUCAUCUGUUUUACUCUAUUCAGAAUGUUUCAGAGAGAGACCACAGUCUUGACUUUAUUUUCAAGUUCUGUGAAUCCAUUAUGUUUAGAGCUUUUACCUCUUUACAGUCUCCAUGUAUAUAUUCAAUAAUGUAAAAUAUGUUAACAGUUCAUGGUUUGGACUGUGUCCUUUUUACAGACAAUCGACUAUAUAAAAGGCUGAAGGGUUAUUCCAGUAUAUCCCUAGUACUACAAAGUACAUUUUGGAGUCAGACAAAUCUGAGUUUGAAUUCUGUUUCUGAGACAUUAACUUGUAAUUUCAGCAAGAUGUUUUUUCUUCAUCUUUACAAUAGGGUUACUUAUACCACCUAAUUAGAUGAGGAUUAAAUAUAUAUAAAUACACUGAUCAUAGCAGCUGUCAUAUGCAAAUUCUGAAGCAAA